CAACAGGGAUUGGGAAUCUUCGUUUGCCACGUCUUCAUGAGCAAGAAAACGAGAGAAGCGAUAUUCAGGAGCGUCGUAAACACGGGAAGCAUCCUGAAAGGAUCGAUGUCGUCGCGGCCCUCAGGUUCCGGAACCUCGUCAACAAAAACCACCUGGUACCCAAUCUCCUUAUCAUCGAACUCUACCUCCCACUCCUCGUCCUCUUCCAACGGCAUCCCAUCACACGAUGCUGAACAACCCUCGCAGUCGUUCGACACUGAAGCUCCGUCGUGGGCGCCCCUCCAGUGGUUGCCCGGAACCCGCUUCAGGUACAACCUGCGGCUGAAUCGGGAUGACACCGGUCCGCUGCGCAGCACAGCCCGGCGCGGCAGCGGGGACCAAGAGGGCCAGCCCACAGUUGUCAAGUUCCGAUGGGCCAGAAGCAUCACGUCGUGACGGACACCAUGCGAAGCUCACGUGCACGCGGGGAAGCCGUUCCUGUCGCGUUGAUCGGCAACGUUAAUUACUGGCAUGCUUUACGUGGCACGCAAUGCUUGCACGCGAGGCUUUGCGCGAAUCUCGCAUGACGAUCAUGAAUCUGUGUCGUUCGCGACAAAGAAUUGCUUAACUGCGAAUGUGGAGACAGCUACACCGAUAACAAGAGCACUAAUUUUAUGUUGUGGAAAACACCGGUUAAUAGUUUUGAAUGAUGUACAAAGGGGUGCAGCUCUGUUCUCUCACAAUGUUUGUUAAUUUUAAGUUCCGCAACAAGCCGUCCUUAGUUAACGUGUUUUUCCAGUUUGAUGCACGUAGGCUGGUGCUAAAGAGCUAAAAACGGGGGUUAAAUUACAGCGAACACUAACCAUCACUGUGCGCUACAAACAAUGGGCCUCAUUCACAAAGCUUUUUUUUUUCUCUUUUGUCGGCAACUGCUGUUCUUAGUUGGCCCAGCGCUUUCGCUAACCAUAUGUACAACAUCGUUACUGACUGGCAUCGGUUUUUAAGAACCGAAUGCUGUAACAACUUUUUCGUGCGUACGAGCCCAGUUAGGCAGACUUAACCGUACUUAUUAAAAUCUCCAAAACAUCCCUUUAUUUUGCGUGGAAUUGAAUGGUUCGCCAGAAAACUUUCAGAAUCUGGACUUUUUUGUUCGAAGGAAAUACAACAGCGAACUUAUUUUAUACGAUGAGCUAACGGGAUGAUGCCCUCAGCCCAGGCGUGAUGCGAGAUUCGCGCGAAACUCGAGCUAACAUUUCUUCAACGCUCGGUUGAUGCUGUGCGAAGAUUGUGUCAGCUAGCGUCUACUCAGCCAACAUCGUACAUACUAUAACGAAGGUCAUGCGGACUGCUGAUUCCGCUUCAUUGAUAGUGCCCGUACAAGAUAUGAUCAUAUUUCGCGUGUGAAAGUGCGCAAUAAGCAUAUUCCGUUCUUGGCAGAGUGACGGACGGCAGGGAAGUGGGUCUAAUUAUUUCUUGGUAUAUAUCAUGCAAAAAAGUAGACACUGAGAACAAAGUGCACAAUUAAAGAAAGUGGGACACCUUCGAUAUUUUAUUCUUUCAGAACGCAAAGCGGUGUAGAGGGGAACCAGAUUGAUGUGCUUUUUUUUAGACACCGCCAUUUGAAGCCACCAUAUCGUCGGCUUCCCGAGGCCGGGAUGAAUCUAAGACAGAGGUGUUUAAGUUUUCCGAUAAAGCUGGGAAAGUUUCCUCUGAAAAACUAGUUUACAAUAGCACAAUUGCGUUUCACAUUUCUCGCCUGAUCACACAGUUACUUCGGCCCCUUGUAAAACUGUUUCCGUUUUGCCUAUACGUUUUCGCCUUAGUUUGACAUUCCUCAUGCUACAUUAUUAUUUUUAGUCUGCAUGAAUAUAUAAGUUUCAUAGCGAAACGUGCGUGUGAGGGAAGUUAGUUAUAGCUCAUGCGAAAUCUUUAUAAUUUGUAUCAUUACAUAUUUUAACGAAGGCUUCCGGAGUACGUACAUUUUUAGAACAGGGUUUCAAAUUUUUUUUUCUUCAUACCCGAGUGGCCGUCAAGACUAUAUAACAUUGUUGUAACACAGUCGCAGGCACGUGCGGGCUUGUAAAAUGAUUGGGUUUAUUUUGAACAUUCCAAGCCAAGCAAAACACAUCCAUCCUUCAGUUAUAUGUGUCGUGUUGGCUGAGAAUAUGCUGUGCGCUUUCGUGUCACCUAUACUGAACAAAGCAAGAACUGACGUAAGCUGGGUAUAACAACGCAAACUAUUGAUCUGUUUGGCGUGUGCAUGAACAGUGGGCCUUACGCAUGUUCAUUGGUGUGGAGCAAGGGUGGCUUGAAUUAUUGUUUCUCUUCGGUAUGUUCCUAAAAUAUAAUGUCUGGGUACGCGCUUAGAUUAAAUGAAAUGAAAAUGUUUUAUUUAUUUCGAUCAUGUUUUUGCAGCCAGCGAGUUCCGGACUUUCGCGUAAGUAGAGGACCUUUUUUUUUUUUUAUCAACUCGUUGCUGGCAUAACUCUCGUGCACUUUACGACAGUUUCUUUUUUUUUAAAUUUUUUUUAUCGUUCACUGCCAGUAAACUAGGAGAAGCGAUCCCAAAGAAAAAUAAGUACGGAUACCUUUGUCAAACAAGGUGGAUCUCUUCGUCACCUUUUGUCACGCAUUAUAAUCAGUUAAUGGUAACACUCUCAUUUCAUUUUCUAGCCAUGAUAGCCAGCAUCGGAGAAACUCGUCUGGAAACAAUGCUAUGUGUAAGUCAGAUCAGGAUGACUUAAAAAGCACUUAGAAUGCUAACUCGCGCGCACGAAAAUUUCGUGCUAACUUUGCUUUAAAACUACUGCACUUAAGAAUGUCUGUUAAAUGACAGCAUCAUGAAAGACAUUAAGUGCGUCUUCUGGCUAAUGCUAAAGCUAAAGAUAAGCCGUUGGUAAUGCGCUGAAAAAUUAUUAGACAAAGUCUCUUUAGGUCGUCUGGAAACGACACAAUCUCUCUGUGCGGGAGGGUCGCCAUGAUUGUUUCGUUCGUGGCACAUUUUUAUUUUUCAGACUGAAUAAAAUUCUCCAGCCUUUAAGAUAGGCUUCCUUCUCAAUUAUAGCCUUCACGUGACUUUAAUGUGUAUAGCAAAUUUAUAGGCUGAUAAUUUUUUUUGGAAUUGUUUAUAUAUAAAGUGUCCCAGCUGACGUUAUCCAACAUAUUUGUUUCAUUUUCCUGUCUUUUUCUUAAGCAACACAAACGUUCUGUUGCUCUCGGAUGAGGACAUAUUGCCGAACCACGUAUAGCAGUCAUAAUUUUAUACUGUAGGGGUUAUUGUUUUUUUCUUUUUCCGUAUGCUUAAGCUUGGAUAACGUUGGCUAUAAUUCCCCAAUCUGUGUAUGACUGAAUGAAGUCAAUAAUUUACAGCAGCUUUUGCCGCCUUCUGUUUUUAGCCUAGUUUCUAAAGCUUCUACGUGCCGAGCGUGUUCAGCGCUAAGAUGUUUCUUUUUAGCUUUUUUGCGCCUUUGUGAACCUAAUAUUCUGCUUAGUGGCUACACAAACGAACGUACAUUUCGUAUUAAUUUCGACAUAAAAAUGCAACAACUCUGAAUGACAGUUCCUCGAAGCCAUUCUAUACGAGCGCAUGUGAUGUCCGUUCACCUCCGAUGCAGCACCUAGUCAGGGCUCAAAACUUUACUCCGAUGAAAUCGUAAUGUGUGUGUUUUUCUUUCACUUAGUUAUGUUUUUCAUGAGUGAGAUCACUCGUUCACUUGUUUGAAAUGUAUAUAAGCGAAUACUAUGUACUCCAAUUCUACGUCCAUUGCCGUAGCAAAUCGGUGACGUUCAAUAUGAAUGAAACCUUUGUGCGAGGCCGCGUUUCUAGGUAUGGUGUGCUAGUCAACCUGUGCUUCUCAUUGUUGUUCGCCCUCGCACGAUCGUGCGUUUUUCCGGGCACGACCAUCGGCUCUUAUGUAAGUGUGUUGUGUAGCUCCUAAUUUCUCAUCUCUUCGUGAAGCUCAUAUCGACAAAUAAAGUUCACCCGUGUUUGUGUCACA